rnacentral:rRNA from 1 species
CAGCACCUCAAGUGGUCAGGAUGAUUAUUGGGCCUAAAGCAUCCGUAGCCGGCUCUGUAAGUUUUCGGUUAAAUCUGUACGCUCAACGUACAGGCUGCCGGGAAUACUGCAGAGCUAGGGAGUGGGAGAGGUAGACGGUACUCGGUAGGAAGGGGUAAAAUCCUUUGAUCUAUUGAUGACCACCUGUGGCGAAGGCGGUCUACCAGAACACGUCCGACGGUGAGGGAUGAAAGCUAGGGGAGCGAACCGGAUUAGAGACCCGAGUAGUCC